rnacentral:rRNA from 1 species
GGUUAAAAAGCUCGUAGUUGGAUUUCUGUUGAGGGCGACCGGUGUACACCUCGUGUAUUAUUUGGUUCGGUCUCGGCAUCCUCUUGGGGAACGUUUCUGGACUUUAUUGGACAGGGCGAGAUUCAAGACUUUUACUUUGAGGAAAUUAGAGUGUUCACGGCAGGCAAGCGCUUUGAAUACAUUAGCAUGGAAUAAUAAUAUAGGACCUUCGUUCUAUUUUGUUGGUUUCUAGAACUUAGGUAAUGAUUAAUAGGGACAAUUGGGGGCAUUCGUAUUAACGCGUCAGAGGUGGAAUUCUUGGAUUGCGUUACGACGAACUACUGCGAAAGCAUUUGCCAAAGAUGUUUUCAUUGAUCAAGAACGAAAGUAUGGGGAUCGAAGACGCUUAGAUACCGUCGUAGUCUAUACCAUAAACUAUGCCAACUAGAGAUUGGUGGGGUUCUCCUAUUUGGCUCCAUCAGCAUCUUA